AUCCACCAAGUGAAGCCCAGAUCCCUGAUACACCCAGCAUCCAUCAGAGGAUUACACCAGAUAAUCCCCCUCACUGUAACUAACAGCACCCCAACUUGAGUUUUAAAAGACCUUACAGUCAUGAGCAACUCAAGUAUCCUAUCAUAUACUUCCAUGGAACUUGUCUUGUACUCCUUGAAAUGCACAAUAACAGCUGUCAUCAUAUCAUUUCCUAUGCAAGGAUCAAUGAAGCAGUAGAAAAAUUCAGUUAUGAACCAAAUUUGCACCAACUCAUUUCCACUGCUAGAUUGACCAUUAGUACAGCCUCCAAUAAUGAAUUUGAGCAUGAUGAUCUUAUUUUUCCAUGCAUAGGCUUCAUACAUCACUAAAGUGAACAUACUACCUUUUGGAUCCAAUUACUUAUUUUGUUGGUUUUGGAAGUUACUAAACUAUGUGGAUUUUUUUCUUGUAUAGGCUGUUAAAAAGGGUCGAGAUCCAACACCAAGUGAGGUACAUUUGCACGUCCAUACACACGGUCAUGAUGGAAAAUCUUUUGUUGGUGAGCGAGCCCGAAUCGUGCAUGAAAAAUAUCAAGAAAUACUACAAAAUCAGACACAGACUAAAUCUGAAGUUGAUCAAUGUCAAGCCUAUUACGAAGCCGCAGGAGGGGUAAAGAAAAGAAGAAUAUAUGGUUUUGGAUCUCAAGCACAAAUAUAUUAUCGGCUGAAUCUUCGUCCUUCUUCUGCUUCUGAUGCUACAUCCUCAGUACCACCUCUGAAUGCUCAACUAGCAGUGACUGGAAAUUUGGAUGAGUUAGUGACGCGAUUAAUUCCUACACUGACUAAUAGCAUCAUUCCUGCACUGACUGAUCGCUUGCUUCCUAUAAUUAUUGAGCGAGUACGUGGAUCGAGUCCUUCUGUCUCUUCUCAGACAGACACUCCUAAUAACCAUCCAUCAUCUAUGGCACCUAUAGUUCCAGCUCCAGCUACUACCAACAUUGAUCAAGUUCAUGCAUCGGUUUCUGGUGAUGAUCGUGGCUCUCCAGUCUCUCAUUAGUUAGUUUUGUUGUUUGGACUUUAUGGUUGUUGCAUAUGAUUUUGGAUUUUUGGUUUUGGAUAUUAUCGUUGUGGAUGCUUUGAACUUGAUUUGCAUGCUGCUAUGUAUUUUGGACCUUGUAGAAUAUUAGUUUUUAUGAAUUAAGUUAUUAUAUGAGUCUCUAAUA